rnacentral:lncRNA from 1 species
GGUGGACUGUAGUCAGUUUCACCCAAUGCCCCAUUGAUGGACACCCAGCUCUUGUCCACGGCUGUGCUACUUCAAAUAAUGCUGCACAACAGACAUUCUUGUGCCUACGUCUUCGUACCUUUAUCUUAACAUAUCUCAAAAGGAAGUUCCAGGUAUGGAACUGCUGGAACUGUGGUUGGAUGGGUUUAAAAUUUGCUGGAUUCAAUAAAUGAUGCUGAAGGAGUGUCUCUCCCCACAGAGGCCCACGUGAGAAGUAGCCACAACUUGUUUGCCCUCUAAGGAGCCAGAGGAAGUCUUGUCCGGGACUGAGGGCUUGGCCAGAGACAGGGAGCUUGGGAGAUGUCUGCGCAAGGAUCACAAGGUCCCCCCGAAUACUCAAAAUAGACUUUGCAGAGAAGAUCCUUCCAACCUACUGUCUAGAGGGCAGAGGCAAGGCUGCAAGCAUUCCGGAAGUCCAACAGGGGAGGGAGAGUGGAGGAAGGAGGCGUCUCAACAUCUGGAACCAUAUUUCCAUCAGAUGUGUUUCUCAAGCACUCUGCCACUCCUUUCUACCUCUCCUGCGUUUGAUCUGAGGACGGCCCGUUCCACAGGAACACAAAGGCACAGAAGAUGAAGUAACUUGCCCACGGCCACACGGUUGACACCAUGAAGGCUGAACAAAGGAUAUCUGGGGGCAAAAUCUGACCCAUGGGCUGCCCAUUGCCACCUCUGGGCAGCCCUCCUUGAUGGUGUGGAGUCCGCGGUCCGCAUUGGUUAACUUAACUGUGCUUCCUCAGAUCCAGUCUGGAAUUAAUUAUUGAAUUGUAUGCAUUUUCAAUGCCAUCCUCAAGCUAACAGCCAACUAUGCGGGGGAAUAAAACGGAGCAGAGAACCGAGUUGGGUUCCAGAGACCCCAGAUUGUCUUCAUUUGCAGUUGCCAGGUUCCCUGCAGCCCGGGUCUGUGGAUUUCCCGCGGCUCAGCGCCCGCAGCUCAGGCUCCGUGGAGCCCGGCGGCAUGGACGAGGCGUCGCGCGCGCCCUCUAGUGGAGAAAAAGGGUCACUGCCGAACGCCAGCUGCGGACCGUCGAGAGUUCCUUGGGCCAUGGCUCCUGCCGGGAGCAGCAGCCCUGGGGCCGGGAUCCAGGAUGCAGAGGCGAGAAAAUGAACUGCCCGGCCACCACGAAGACAACCCACCCCUUGCCAGUCACCCCUCAAACUACUGACAAUGUCAACAACAAUAAUUAUAACAAUCAUAUUAAUAAGUAGAAUGACAAAUAUAAUAAUAUUUAACAGUUUGUGAUUUUCAGCCCACAAGGUUUCGCCUACUGUGUAGAUUACUCGGGACUCUGCAGGCCAGUAGGCCAUGUAUAGAUGGACAGAAAGAGGUUUGUUAUCAGAAAUGGGCUCACAUGACUGAGGAUACUGUGAAGUCCCACGACCUGCUGUUUGCAAGUAGGGGAUCAGGGAAGCCAGUGGAGUAGGUCAGUCCAAGCCCAAAGGCCGAGAACCAGAGGAGCCGACGGCCCAGCUCAAGCAGAAAGAGUGGCACUCACCCUUCCUCUGCCUUUUGUUCUCUUCAGGCCCUCAGCAGAUUGCAGGACGCCCCGACACAAGGAAGGGCGAUCUUGACUCAGUCAGUCCACGGAUGCACGCUAACCCCUUCCAGAAACACCCUCACAGACACACCUAGAAAUAAUGUGGGGUUUUUGGUGUUUUACUUUUAAUUGCAUUUAUUUUAAUGCCGGAUGUAUUUCCGCGUUGCCAGCUCCUGAGCAUCUCUGAGCCCAAUCAAGUUGACACAUACAAUUAACCAUCACGCUGUGUCAGUUCAAUCAUUAAAAAUACGCAACACUCAGCCGGGCGCGGUGACUCACGACUGUAAUCCCAGCACUUUGGGAGGCUGAGGUGGGUGGAUCACAAGGUCAGGAGUUCGAGACCAGCCUGGCCAACUGGUGAAACGCCGUCUCUAAUAAAAAUACAAAAAAUUAGCUGGUCGUGGUGGCAGGCACCUGUAAUCCCAGCUGCUCAGGAGGCUGAGGCAGGAGAAUCGCUUGAACCCGAGAGGCAGAGGUUGCAGUGAGCCGAGAUCACGCCAUUUCAGUCCAGCUGGGAGACAGAGCAAGACUCCGUCUUGAGAACAAACAAACAAACAGACAGACAGACAAAAAAACACGCAACACUCUAUUAACGCAUGAAUGUAUUCUCACCGAACAAGAUUCAAACAGUAUGAAUGAACAUAUUGCAAAUGUUUUUAAGUGUUUUUGAAAACUUUCAUUUUGAAACAAUUUCAAACUUAGUUGAAAAGUUGCAAGGAUGGCACAAAAACCUUCUAUUAAUACAUAGCUUUUAGCAGGAUUCCUCAGUUGUUAACAAUUUGCCACAUUUGCUUUAUAAUUUUUGCUCUGUCUCUACAUACUUUUAAGAUCUGAGCCAUUUGAAAUAUAAUGCCCCCUUAUAAUAGUUCCGUGGGUCUUUCCUAAAAACAAGUCAUUAUCUUCCAUAAUCCAGUACAGUUGUUCAAAUCAAGAAAAUUAACAUGGAUGCAAUAGUAUUAUCUCAUCUGCAGACCUUCUUCAAAUUUCACCAAUUGUCUCAAUAAUACCAUCCUUUUUAGCAUUUUUUUGGCUGAUUCCCACUACAAACUAUGAAAGCACAAAUGUCUCUCCUCUGCCUUGCCCAGAGGUUCCUCUUUCAAUCAUAGGGGAGGUGCCGAUAGGGUCUGUCUUUCAUUUUUCUCAAUGGAAGCACAUUCCCCACUUCUCAAUUUGCCUUGGGAGCUCUUAUUUCAAUCUCUUCUCAAUCCUUCGAAGCAGGACUCCUCCCUAGCCAUAUUCUACACAGAAGGAAACAGAAACUCAGCGUGAGGACGGCUCCUGCCCUGCGACCUCAGGUCCCCCAGCUGCCUUGCUAAGAGUUGAACCGUGCCCCCAGCCCCUACCCUGAUACAUUUCAGCAAAUUGAUAUGCAAGGCCCCUUUCCAGGCCCUGGGAACAUGAAGAGGAAGUUGCUGAUGGCUGUGCUCAAAGACUUCCCAGGCUAGUGCAAGGGACAGGAGAGGGCGGCCCUGCUGGAAGCUCAGUGAGGAGCCCUGCGGUGGGGAGUGGUUGAAGCCGUUAAGUCCUCUGGUGACCUAUGGGUGUGGAGGCUGGACCAGAGGGCCUUAAGGGGUAGCCCUGCAGGUCCCAACCCCAUUCUUGGUGGAAGUGUUGGCUGAGGUCUCUGGAGUUGAGUGGGGUGGCAGAACUGGGCACUCUCAUGACAGGAGAGGGGGGAUGGGCAGGAGAGGUGUUCAGAAAAGGAGUGCAGGGAGGGCGGAAGAGCCGCUGUGUGAGUUUCCCCCAGCCCCUUGAGCAGCUGUGGGCCUCCUGCCCAGUCCCCAUGCUGGGACCGAGAGGGCAAAGCGUGCAGAGAAGGCUGCACACCCUGCAGCCUCAGCCAGCGCGUGAUAGGGGAGCUCUGGGCAGGGACAAAGCUGCAGUCCCUGUCCCUGAAUGUCGGGGCGGGGGGGGGCGGGGAUAGAAAGGAGAAAAUGGGGCAGAGAGAAAAGAAAGCGGUGGCGUGCACAUGCCCAGGCCCUUUGCUCCACUUUCCAUGCUAUAUGAGACACUUCCCAAAAUUCACACUCCCUGGGACCCUGAGGAUGGGGGCUGUAUCAGAGGAAUUAAUUCAGUCACAGGAGGACAGGAGUCCAGCUCUGACUCAGUCCCAGUGGAGCAUCGUAGAAAACCGACAACCAGUGUCCAAGGAGCCCACUUUGGUGUCUGAUGGGUCACCAGGAAGAGUUUAUUAGAUUCCUGAAAAUCAUAAGUAAGCAUCCCUGCUUUGUGGAAUUUCAGUUGGUGAGUGACAAUGCCAAGUAUGCAAUUUGUCCUUCAACUUUUCAUUUAUGCCACACCGCGUGCUGGGCUCUCUGCAGGUGCUGGUGAAACAGACAUGAAAAGGCACAACCCCUGCCUCGGGAUCUGGUGGCAAGAUCAACAGGUAAACUGCAGGUCUGAUACGGAUUGACAGGUGCCACUCAGAGUGAGUACGGGUGGCAGAAACUCAGAGGGGUCCGCCUGCCCAGUCUGGGAUUGGGAAAGGCAUCUGAUUAGUUUCUCAUGGCUGUUGUAACAGAUUACCACUACCUUAGUGGCUUAAAACAACAUAAAUGUAUUCUCUUAUGACACUGAAGGUCGUUAAGUGUGAAAUCAGUUUCCCUGGCUAUAGGUGUCAUCUGAGCUGGUCUUUUCCGGAGGCUCCAGGGGAGAAUCGCUUCCUGGCCCUGUUCAGCUUUGGGAGGCUGCCUGCAUCCUUGCCUGCAGCCCCCUUCUCCUUCUUCAAAAUGCACCCCUGCAACCUCUGCACCCAACAUCACACGGCCUUCCCUGCUGCACUCAAAU